CCUACGGGAGGCUGCAGUGGGGAAUAUUGCGCAAUGGGCGAAAGCCUGACGCCGCGACGCCGCGUGAGGGAUGAAGGUCUUCGGAUCGUAAACCUCUGUCAGCAGGGAAGAACGGUCACUGUGCUAAUCAGCAGUGAAUUGACGGUACCUGCCAAGGAAGCACCGGCUAACUCCGUGACAGCAGCCGCGGUAAUACGGAGGGUGCGAGCGUUAGUCGGAAUUACUGGGCGUAAAGCGCUCGUAGGCGGUAUGUCAAGUCAAGGGUGAAAUCCCCGCGCUUAACGUCGGAAGUGCUUUUGAAACUGUGAAACUGGAGUGUUGGAGAGGAGAGUGGAAUUCCAGGUGUAGGAGUGAAAUCCGUAGAUAUCUGGAGGAACACCAGUGGCGAAGGCGACUAUCUGGCACAUAACUGACGCUGAGGAUCGAAAGCGUGGGGAGCAAACAGGAUUAGAUACCCCUGUAGUC
rnacentral:rRNA from 1 species